rnacentral:rRNA from 1 species
GACGAACCGAGCGAACGUUGUUCGGAAUCACUGGGCUUAAAGGGCGCGUAGGCGGGCUGCCGCGUCCGGGGUGAAAGCCCCCCGCUCAACGGGGGAACGGCCUCGGAUACGGGCGAGCUCGAGGGGGGUAGGGGCACCUGGAACUGUGGGUGGAGCGGUGAAAUGCGUUGAUAUCCACAGGAACUCCGGUGGCGAAGGCGAGGUGCUGGACCCCAUCUGACGCUGAGGCGCGAAAGCCAGGGGAGCGAACGGG